rnacentral:tRNA from 1 species
GCGGAUAUGGCGUAAUUGGUAGCCGCGAUAGACUUAGGAUCUAUUGCCGAAAGGCGUGGGGGUUCGAGUCCCUUUAUCCGCA